UUUUGCAGAGUUUUUAAACUAACAAGAGAUACUGAGGACACAUUAGAACUAGCAUCCCCUUAAAAUGUUAAUCAUCCAUAGUUUUUCAAAAAUAUUCCUCUGUUGAAAAUUAACAAAGUAAACACCCACUUUGAUAGCUCUUGCAAUGAUUAUAUUGAAGGCCACCUGUUCUGAAAGACGGGGCAAAGUUAUAACUAUGUCCGACUUGCUUUGAAUUUUUCUCUCUUCGUCAUUCUCUUUUAGUUGCCAUUUCAUGUCAUCUUUUCAACUAGUUAAACCAUUUAGGUUCUCUGUUGAAUUUUUAAAGGAAUGACUUGAAGUAUGAUAUUUUAUUUGAUUGUAUAGUUAUUAGCAGUGGGAAAUUAGAUGGAUUGGGUGUAAAUAGAUUUUUGAUGAAAAUUUAUUCAUCCAAUAACCAAUGGACCUUAAUAGAUGGGAUUUAAAUGGAUUAGACCAAUACGACAAUUCAAUAAGAUGCAAUUUUACAGAAUUGAAUUCAAAUUUUUAUCUACUACUGGACACAGCACGCCAACCUUCACAUCCUCAGCAAAUGGCUUGUUUAAAAAGUCAACUACUAUACCUCUUAUUAGAUUCAUUGAUUUUGACUAUAUAUUGUUAUAUUAUUUGCCUGUACUGAUUCUAUUAAUUUCUUUGUAUUAGUUCAAAAACAUAUGUAGGCAUAACUGAUACAAAACCAAGGCUGGGGAUGGGGGUGAGCAAGGGUGAAUUUCUGAAAUUAAACUAUAAACGUAUCGUGAGCUAGAGUCAUACCACUAGACCAAAUUCCACCAGUUAUCGCUUCUUUCCUUUUCUUUAUAUAAACUGUUCUAGCCAGCCUUUGAUGGUUUUGCUUCAAGAACCUUAUUCUCAAAACCAUUUGACCUAUUCCCCAUAGGCAAUCAAAGACACUUUGGUAACGUAGGCUACAGCGAAUGCUCUAGUUUUGGUUGAUAAAGAGUGAUACCUGCAUAUGAGUUGAGAAGUCCCCUCUUUAAAAAUUGAAGUUUGAGUUGUUAUAUUUGUUUUGAUUUUUGGAAAAAUAAUAAGCUAUGCACGGUAAUACACUUUGGUGUAAUGCUCAAUGGGUUUUAAUUUUCUGCAGGAUCUACAACUUCAUAGUUCUAAUGCAGUCUGUGCAAAAUUUACUUGAUUACAAUAGGAGACUUAAUUCUACCUAUACAACUUUUAUUACCAUUAUUUUUUGUUGUUAGUGGUGUUUCUGGUAAUGUUUUUCUUGCAAUAUAUCCAAACUUUAACAUUAAUGACAUGGCAUCUGUCGCUAUGUGUUGCCCACCUGAGAUUGAGCCACAGUGUCUCGUAGAUAUGUUUUACUACUCUGGCUAAUGAUUAGAGUCGAUUUAUGAUAUUUUUUAGUAAUUUAUUAUUAUUUUUUUGUCUCCCCUAAAUAUAAUUGAAAGAAACAAAAAUUAAUUUGUAGGUUUCAUGACCACCUCAAUUUGACUGGGAAUUAAACUGAGGACCUCGCAUAGCCAAAGGGAUAAUCAAGGCUUAUUUUUGUGAUUUGACAUUAUUGAAAGUAUUAACUUACUGAGGAUUAAGUUCACUUUGAGAUCCGAAAGUGAUAUGAUGUAACCGAACCAGAUAAGUGGAGUCAUUUUUCUUAUUGAAGAUGCAGGUACUCCCUGGCUGGCAUACGUUGUUUUGAAUCUUUUGAUCUGCUACUUGUAAAUUUCCUAUUAUUCAACUGAGCACAGCAAAUUUCGCAGGUCAGUGCCAGUACCAUUUACUAAUCAUGCUUCAGUUUCAGGAUUAGUUAUUUGGUGCAAAAAUUAAUUUCCACAGUGAGCAGUCAGUAUCUCUGUUAUUUUGGUGGUUAUAUAUUAUUAAAAUAUACAUUUUAAAUAUUCUGCUUCCACAAAAAUUAAUAUUUCUACAGUGAGCAGUCAGUAUCUCUGUUAUUUUGGUGGUUAUUUAUUACUAAAAUAUACAUUUUAAAUAUUCUGCUUCUGACCACACCUUGAAGUAAUAAUCUCUCAUUUUCUAUAAUCUGAAUCCAUGUAUUGUAGAAUCUUUCCAGAAGGACAUUGUAUUUGUGUCCAGAAAAUGCCCUUGUGCAGAGGUUCUCGUUCUCAUAUCUGAUGGCUUUACAACCAGAAACAGCAUUAGAUAGAGCUUUGAAAAUGAAUUAGGCAGCUAAAUAACUAUCUUCUGAUUCAGUUACAUUAUUGAGUCAGGUCACUGAAUCAACAAUAUUUAGUCCUUUCAGUGUGCAGUACAGUUUCCUCAUAAUGUUACAUAAUUGAGGUAAUUGAACAACUAUGUCUUAAUAGUUAACAAGGUUGCAUUAUUAAAUCUAGCUUUAGCAUUUGGAAUACCUGUGCUGGAUACUCUGUUUAUAAGUCUUGUUUCUUUUAUUUACAAUCAGACCUGUCCAGGUUGACAAGGGAAUAAAAAGGUGCUCUACGGCUGACAGAUAAUUUGUAAAAUGGGGCAUACGAGAAUUGAAAUCAGGACCUCCUGCAGCCGAAGUGAGAAUCAUACCACUAGACCAAAUGC
rnacentral:lncRNA from 1 species